UCACAUGAGGAGUUCCACAGUGAUAGCAA
rnacentral:piRNA from 1 species